GACGAACGCUGGCGGCGUGCUUAACACAUGCAAGUCGAACGGAAAGGCCCUGCUUUUGUGGGGUGCUCGAGUGGCGAACGGGUGAGUAACACGUGAGUAACCUGCCCUUGACUUUGGGAUAACUUCAGGAAACUGGGGCUAAUACCGGAUAGGAGCUCCUGCUGCAUGGUGGGGGUUGGAAAGUUUCGGCGGUUGGGGAUGGACUCGCGGCUUAUCAGCUUGUUGGUGGGGUAGUGGCUUACCAAGGCUUUGACGGGUAGCCGGCCUGAGAGGGUGACCGGCCACAUUGGGACUGGGAUACGGCCCGGACUCCUACGGGGGGCAGCGGUGGGGAAUAUUGCACAAUGGGCGGAAGCCUGAUGCAGCAACGCCGCGUGCGGGAUGACGGCCUUCGGGUUGGAAACCGCUUUCGCCUGUGACGAAGCGUGAGUGACGGUAAUGGGUAAAGAAGCACCGGCUAACUACGU
rnacentral:rRNA from 1 species